rnacentral:tRNA from 1 species
GCCAAGGUACUCAAGUGGUCAACGAGGGCAGUCUGUAAAACUGCUGGCCUAGCCUCCGUAGGUUCGAAUCCUUCCCUUGGCA